rnacentral:lncRNA from 1 species
GGCAGGGGCCCGGCGGAAGCGCCGCUCUAGGCUGCAGCCGCGCCCCCAGCCGUAUUUCCGCGGGCGCUGAGCACUAGAGAGAGCGUCUUGUGGCUGCGGCCUGCCCCUCAGCCUCCUCCGCGCGGUUACCCCUGUACCCGCCGCCAUCCGUCCUGGCGCUCCGGAUGAGUCAAUGAGGGGCAGGGCCCGAGGAGUGGUCUUCCCAAGAACCCCUGGUGGCCUCCCAAGGCCGGUGCUGUGUACCUCCUCCCCGACAAAAGGGGAAACUGAGGCCCCGAGGGGAGUGGGAAGAGCCGGCUGGACGUCAGGCCCAGCCGCUGGUGCAGUGGUCCGUCCCCUCUGCCGGGGUGGGCCCCUCGGGUUUCGCGUGUCCUCGGGAAAGAGACUGGCGGGCCUCGUGGGCUGUGCGGCUAUCCUGGAGACAGAUGACAGCUCUCCCUUGGAUGGCUUUGCUGGUUCCGCACCAGCCAGCGCCCCCAUUUUUCCUGCAGCACCCUGAUCUGCACUCCCUGAGGGGCUCCCACUGUCCGCGGUGUGAGGAUGUCCCUGGAUAGUCCACUGUGUGCAGAGGCAUGGGAGUUGUCAUGUUGGGAACAUGCUAGACCUCAGUAUCCUUGAGGGAUGCUGCCUUGGGUCUGGAAACUGUUAGAGGAAACCCCAAGAGGUGCAGGCACUGAGCCUCUCAGGACAAUGACCUGGGGUCCCAGCUCCCCUGGAGGGGCCUCCUCAUGAUUGUUUGGGGGUUGAUCACAGACCAAGAGUGACGAGUGAUGUCACCCUGUGACUCAUGGCUGGACCUUCUUGCCCCUAUUGUCUCAGCACAACAUUAUUCGACUUUUCCCUCAGCGUGGGUGGGCAGAGGAAAAGCCCUGUGGCUCUGGGGACUUGGGAUCCAGAGUUGAAGACCCUUCAGCUGGCUCUGCCCUGCCAGUGCCACAGAGUGCCAUGGCCCAGGAAGACAGGUUUUCUUCCAUCUAGGCCAGGCCAUCCAGUGGCCAUCCUCCGUGUCCUCCCGCCUCCUCCUGGUGUGACUUCUGAAAACCAAGAAUUUGUUCCUGUUGACUUUUUCUGUGCUAUGGACCAUUGUCCUCUCACCCACUCAAUAAAUCUUGAAACAUGCCCUGCUGCUUGUUCUUUCA